UACGAAGGGGGCUAGCGUUGGUCGGAUUUACUGGGCGUAAAGCGCGUGUAGGCGGAUCGUUAAGUCGGGGGUGAAAGCCCAGAGCUCAACUCUGGAAUUGCCUUCGAUACUGGCGGUCUGGAGCAGAGAAGAGGCGAGUGGAAUUCCGAGUGUAGAGGUGAAAUUCGUAGAUAUUCGAAGGAACACCAGUGGCGAAGGCGCCUCGCUGGUCUCUUGCUGCCGCUGAGACGCGAAAGCGUGGGGAGCAAACAGG
rnacentral:rRNA from 1 species